rnacentral:rRNA from 1 species
GAUGAACGCUAGCGGCAGGCCUAACACAUGCAAGUCGAGGGGCAUCGCGGUGCAGCAAUGCACUGGCGGCGACCGGCGUACGGGUGCGUAACGCGUAUGCAACCUGCCCCGCACCGGGGGAUAGCCCGCCGAAAGGCGGAUUAAUACCCCAUGGUCCCGGGGGCCCGCAUGGGCAUCCGGGUAAAGCCUUGGCGGUGCGGGAUGGGCAUGCGUGCCAUUAGCUGGCUGGUGGGGUAACGGCCCACCAGGGCAACGAUGGCUAGGGGGUCUGAGAGGAUGGUCCCCCACACUGGGACUGAGACACGGCCCAGACUCCUACGGGAGGCAGCAGUGGGGAAUUUUGGACAAUGGGCGAAAGCCUGAUCCAGCCAUGCCGCGUGCAGGAAGAAGGCCUUCGGGUUGUAAACUGCUUUAGUCUAGGAAAAAGGGGUGCGAGGUUAAUACCCUCGUGCUUUGAUGGUACUGGAAGAAUAAGCACCGGCUAACUACGUG